rnacentral:rRNA from 1 species
GUUGAACGCUGGCGGCAUGCUUUACACAUGCAAGUCGAACGGUAACAGGUCUUCGGAUGCUGACGAGUGUCGAACGGGGGCGUAAUACAUCGGAACGGGCCUCGUAGUGGGGGAUAACUACUCGCAAGAGUAACUAAUACCGCAUGCGAUCUACGGAUUACAGCCGGGGACCUUCGGGCCUUGUGCUACUCUAGCGGCUGAUGGCAGAUUAGGUAGUUGGUGGGGUAAAGGCUUACCAAGCCUGCGAUCUGUAGCUGGUCUGAGAGGACGACCAGCCACACUGGGACUGAGACACGGCCCAGACUCCUACGGGAGGCAGCAGUGGGGAAUUUUGGACAAUGGGCGAAAGCCUGAUCCAGCAAUGCCGCGUGAAGGAUGAAGGCCCUCGGGUUGUAAAAUGCUUUUGUACGGAACGAACAGCCGUGGGCUAAUAUCCCCGGGUCAUGACGGUACCGAAAGAAUAAGCACCGGCUAACUACGUG